UACGUAGGGGGCAAGCGUUGUCCGGAAUCAUUGGGCGUAAAGAGCGUGUAGGCGGCCAGGUAGGUCAGCUGUGAAAACUCGAGGCUCAACCUCGAGACGUCGGUUGAAACCACCUGGCUAGAGUCCGGAAGAGGAGAGUGGAAUUCCUGGUGUAGCGGUGAAAUGCGCAGAUAUCUGGAGGAACACCGGUGGCGAAGGCGGCAUUCUGGACUGCAACUGACACUGAGAGACGAAAGCCAGGGGAGCAAACGGG
rnacentral:rRNA from 1 species